AUUGAACGCUGGCGGCAGGCUUAACACAUGCAAGUCGAGCGAGCGGCGGACGGGUGAGUAAUGUCUGGGAAACUGCCUGAUGGAGGGGGAUAACUACUGGAACCGGUAGCUAAUACCGCAUAACAUCAUAUGUGCCCAGAUGGGAUUGGCUAGUAGGUGGGGUAAUGGCUCACCUAGGCGACGAUCCCUAGCUGGUCUGAGAGGAUGACCAGCCACACGGGAACUGAGACACGGGCCAGACGCCUACGUGAGGCAGCAGUGGGGAAAAUUGCACAAGGGGCGGAAGGCUGAUGCAGCCAUGCCGCGUGGGUGAAGAAGGCCUUGGGGUUGGAAAGCACUGUCAGCGAGGAGGCGUUACUCGAAGAAGAAGCACCGGCUAACUCCGUGCCAGCCGCCGCGGUAAUUC
rnacentral:rRNA from 1 species